rnacentral:rRNA from 1 species
CUCGUAGGCGGUUCGUCGCGUCCGGUGUGAAAGUCCAUCGCUUAACGGUGGAUCCGCGCCGGGUACGGGCGGGCUUGAGUGCGGUAGGGGAGACUGGAAUUCCCGGGUGUAACGGUGGAAUGUGUAGAUAUCGGGAAGAGCACCAAUGGCGAAGGCAGGUCUCUGGGCCGUUACUGACGCUGAGGAGCGAAAGCGUGGGGAGCGAACA